rnacentral:rRNA from 1 species
AUUGAACGCUGGCGGCAGGCCUAACACAUGCAAGUCGAACGAGUGGCGGACGGGUGAGUAAUGUCUGGGAAACUGCCUGAUGGAGGGGGAUAACUACUGGAAACGGUAGCUAAUACCGCAUACUAUCAGAUGUGCCCAGAUGGGAUUAGCUUGUUGGUGGGGUAACGGCUCACCAAGGCGACGAUCCUUAGCUGGUCUGAGAGGAUGACCAGCCACACUGGAACUAGGAAACGGUCCAAACUCCUACGGAGGGCAGCAGUGGGGAAUAUUGCACAAUAGGCGCAAGCCUGAUGCAGCCAUGCCGCGUGUAUGAAAAAAGCCUUCAGGUUGUAAAGUACUUUCAGCGGGGAGGCGUUACCCGCAGAAGAAGCACCGGCUAACUCCGUGCCAGCAGCCGCGGUAAUUC